CUCUGGGGUGGUCGGCCUCUGGUGCCUUGGGCAGCAUGAAGGUCUGAGUAAUUUGGGAUGACUUGCUGGGCCGGGCGGAUAACUCUCAUGCAAGGUCCAGGAACAGGAGGAAGCGGUUGCGAUGCGUGUUCAAAAUGUUGGCACGUCCUCCUCCAUGUCUUGGGAAACCAAGCAGUUUGGAGGCAUUUGCAGGAUAGGAGUACAUAGAUGCAGAAUUUUAAAGCUGCCAUGAGGAUGCAUACAUUGAGAUUGCAACAAAUGCUGGUGCCAUGGGGUCAGAUAAGUGUGACUGGGAUGUGUAGUCCUUCAGAAAUGACACGUCUAGAAUAACGUGAGGGGAGCUGUGUGGUUGAACUCCAGCUGUUUAAAAACAUACUGACUUCAUAAUUUGGAAAAUGAUGUCCCAUAGGUAACUGGUCUGCAUACUCCUAUGAAAAAUAGUGCUCCAAAUGGCAUGACACCCCUUCUUGAAAAGCUUUUAUCUCCUCUCCACCAUUAUCUCCACAGUUUAAACAAAAGAACAACUAUCCCAAUGUAAAAUGCUCUUUUUUUUUAAUCACUAAAUUAAGAAAGUUAAACAGUUUUAAAAUGUAAACUUGCAAAUAAACCAUAACAAAAUGUAA